rnacentral:sRNA from 1 species
UGAACUGAGGGCCGCCGACAACGUUAAA